UUGGGGAGGGCAAGUCUGGUGCCAGCAGCCGCGGUAAUUCCAGCUCCAAUAGCGUAUAUUAAAGUUGUUGCAGUUAAAAAGCUCGUAGUUGAAUUUCGGGAUCAAAUUGUCGGUCGUGCCUCGGUACGUACUGGCGUUAUUGGUUCCUCCCUUCUGAAGAACCACGAUGUCAUUAAUUUGGUGUCGCGGGGAAUCAGGACUGUUACUUUGAAAAAAUUAGAGUGUUUAAAGCAGGCUCGCGCUUGAAUACAUUAGCAUGGAAUAAUGAAAUAGGACGUUUGAUUCUAUUUUGUUGGUUUCUAGGAUCGACGUAAUGAUUAAUAGGGAUAGUUGGGGGCAUUAGUAUUCAAUUGUCAGAGGUGAAAUUCUUGGAUUUAUUGAAGACUAACUACUGCGAAAGCAUUUGCCAAGGAUGUUUUCAUUAAUCAAGAACGAAAGUUAGGGGAUCGAAGACGAUCAGAUACCGUCGUAGUCUUAACCAUAAACUAUGCCGACUAGGGAUCGGAUGAU
rnacentral:rRNA from 1 species